rnacentral:tRNA from 1 species
GGAGAGGUGGCCGAGCAGGUCGAAGGCGGCGGUUUGCUAAACCGUUGUAGGGGCCAAAACCUCUACCCAGGGUUCAAAUCCCUGCCUCUCCGCCA